AGAGUUUGAUCAUGGCUCAGAUUGAACGCUGGCGGCAUGCCUUACACAUGCAAGUCGAACGGUAACGGGCCUUCGGGUGCCGACGAGUGGCGAACGGGUGAGUAAUGUAUCGGAACGUACCUUUCAGUGGGGGAUAACGUAGCGAAAGUUACGCUAAUACCGCAUAUUCUGUGAGCAGGAAAGCAGGGGAUCGCAAGACCUUGCGCUGAUUGAGCGGCCGAUAUCAGAUUAGCUAGUUGGUGAGGUAAAGGCUCACCAAGGCGACGAUCUGUAGCGGGUCUGAGAGGAUGAUCCGCCACACUGGAACUGAGACACGGUCCAGACUCCUACGGGAGGCAGCAGUGGGGAAUUUUGGACAAUGGGGGCAACCCUGAUCCAGCCAUGCCGCGUGAGUGAAGAAGGCCUUCGGGUUGUAAAGCUCUUUCGGCCGGGAAGAAAUCGUAUGGGUUAAUACCCUGUGCGGAUGACGGUACCGGCAUAAGAAGCACCGGCUAACUACGUGCCAGCAGCCGCGGUAAUACGUAGGGUGCGAGCGUUAAUCGGAAUUACUGGGCGUAAAGCGUGCGCAGGCGGGUUUUGUAAGACAGGCGUGAAAUCCCCGGGCUCAACCUGGGAAACUGCGCUUGUGACUGCAAGGCUAGAGUACGGCAGAGGGGGGUGGAAUUCCAGGUGUAGCGGUGAAAUGCGUAGAGAUGUGGAGGAACAUCAAUGGCGAAGGCAGCCCCCUGGGCCAAUACUGACGCUCAUGCACGAAAGCGUGGGGAGCAAACAGGAUUAGAUACCCUGGUAGUCCACGCCCUAAACGAUGAAUACUA
rnacentral:rRNA from 1 species